rnacentral:rRNA from 1 species
CCUACGGGAGGCAGCAGUCGGGAAUAUUGCGCAAUGGAGGAAACUCUGACGCAGUGACGCCGCGUGCAGGAAGAAGGUUUUCGGAUUGUAAACUGCUUUAGACAGGGAAGAAAAUGACGGUACCUGAAGAAGAAGCCCCGGCUAACUACGUGCCAGCAGCCGCGGUAAUACGUAGGGGGCAAGCGUUAUCCGGAUUUACUGGGUGUAAAGGGGGCGCAGACGGCGAUGCAAGCCAGGAGUGAAAGCCCGGGGCCCAACCCCGGGACUGCUCUUGGAACUGCGUGGCUGGAGUGCAGGAGGGGCAGGCGGAAUUCCUGGUGUAGCGGGGAAAUGCGUAGAUAUAAGGAGGAACACCGGUGGCGAAGGCGGCCUGCUGGACUGCAACUGACGUUGAGGCCCGAAAGCGUGGGGAGCAAACAGGAUUAGAUACCCGUGUAGUC